GAUGAACGCUGGCGGCGUGCCUAAUACAUGCAAGUCGAGCGAACAGACGAGGAGCUUGCUCCUCUGACGUUAUCGGCGGACGGGUGAGUAACACGUGGAUCACCUACCUAUAAGACUGGGAUAACUUCGGGAAACCAGAUCCAAUACCGGAUAAUAUAUUGAACCGCAUGGUUCACUAGUGAAAGACGGUUUUGCUGUUACUUAUUGCUGGUUCCGCGCCGCAUUAGCUAGUUGGUAAGGUAACGGCUUACCAAGGCAACGCUGCGUAGCCGACCUGAGAGGGUGAUCGGCCACACUGGAACUGGGACACGGUCCAGACUCCUACGGGAGGCAGCAGUAGGGAAUCUUCCGCAAUGGGCGAAAGCCUGACGGAGCAACGCCGCGUGAGUGAUGAAGGUCUUCGGAUCGUAAAACUCUGUUAUUAGGGAAGAACAGAUGUGUAAGUAAAUAUGCACGUCUUGACGGUACCUAAUCAGAAAGCCACGGCUAACUACGUG
rnacentral:rRNA from 1 species